rnacentral:lncRNA from 1 species
AUGUGCAUCCCGCACGCGGCGUCGGUGGGUCGCGGCUCCCGGAGACCAGCCGGCCCUGCCACGGCGGCGGUAGGGCUGCCUGGUGGGGAGGGGCCGGUGGGGCCGCACGGAGGAGAAGUCCCCCCACCGCAGCCCGGCGCCCCCUUGCCGGCUGCGGGCCCUCUUCCCCGGCAGCGGGGCGCCGGACCUCGGGGACCCUUCGGGCGCUUCCGCCGCGCGCUCGGCUCCUUUCGUGUCCGGGGCGGGGCGGGCGUCUUCCCAGUGCGCGCGCGCGGCGCCGAGUCCCGCGGAGGCCCGCCCCUCCCCCAGGCCCCCGCGCCCGCGCCGCCCCCCCACCCCUACGAGUGUCGGCGGCGGCGGCAGUGGCGGCGGCGGCGGCGGCUGCCGAGAUUGGAAUCCGCCUGCUGGCUCUCGGCGAAGGAGGAGGGAGGAGGGCGGGGAGAAAGGGCAGGAAGGCUCGGGCUCCGGCGCGUCCGUCCGCGCGAGACGAGGAUCGCACGGCCGCUCGAGGGGCGACCGGGCCGGGGCCGCUGCACGCCGAGGGCGGAGGCCGAGUCGGGCCCCCGCCGCGCCCCGGCGGCUCGCCGCGCCCACCCCGCUCCGCGCCGAGGGCUGGACGAUGAGUUCCCCGGGGUCCGGGUGAGUUGGCUCGUCCGAGAGUGCGUGUGUGCGCCGGGAGAGGCCGGCGGCUGCCGGGAGGCCGGCGCGGGCUCCAGGAGAAGUUUCGGGGGGAGCGGGGCGCGCGCGGGAGGCCUGAGCUGGGGGCGGCCCGGUCCGGCCGCCUCGCGGGGUCCCCGCCGCCUCGGCUCUGUCAGGCCGCGGCCCGUUGGGCCCCGCCGUCCGGCGCCCCCGCCCCGGGCCCGACCCCGCCGGAGACCCCGGCCCCCCGGACUCCCGACGUCGGCUCCUUGCAGCUCCCCGCUGCGGCCCCGCCGCCCGGCCCCUCUUUUGUUCCCCACCCCCUGGGUUUCAGGCCGAGUUUGGGGAGGCGAUGUGGGCGAAAGCCGCCUCCAAGGACGCUUCUUGAAUCCUUAA